CUUGUUGACACAGCUCUCGAUUGAAAGCGAGCACCCCACACAGUUGGUGUAGAGCCACUUCAUUAGUACCAAUAAACUCGCAGCAGCUUGAAGAACAGUUGGCAGUGGCGAUGAAGUCUUCCAGACUAAGCUACUGUCUACUAUCGUGGGCAGUUAUUAUUGUGAUGAUUUUUGUGGUGCCCCUCCUUGACGCCGAGCGAGUAAUAUUUUUCAAACCGAAAAACGCGACUGAAACGACGACACCAGUCAGUACGUCCAGCAUUUUUACCGGAGUCGUCAGUUGUGCCGAGGGCUUUGGGUAUGACCAAUUCCGAAAAGUUUGUCGAAAAUUGGUUCGAUGGUGAUUUGAUUCGAUGCCGACUCACAGCAAAAGAAUCUAAUGGAUCAUCCUGUUUCGGUGAAUCGUCGAUAAUUUUCUAUGGAAAAAUUGCAAACGCGAAGCCAUUGUUCGAUUUGGUACAAAUACUAGCUGUGUUUUCAGUGUCUUAUUAUAUUUAAGCCGAUACUUUAAGAUACCCACUUAAGUCUAUCAGUUAUAAGUGAUUCUUAUCUAUUCCUAGUGAUUGCUGGAUUACCAGGCAAUAAUACUUCAAUAAAUAAAACUAAACAGUGGAAUGUGUUAGGAAAAGUA